rnacentral:rRNA from 1 species
UGGGGAAUAUUGCACAAUGGGCGAAAGCCUGAUGCAGCGACGCCGCGUGAGGGAUGGAGGCCUUCGGGUUGUAAACCUCUUUCAGUAAGGGUGAAGGCUCUCUUUUGUGGAGGGUUGACAGUACUUGCAGAAGAAGCGCCGGCUAACUAUGUGCCAGCAGCCGCGGUAAUACGUAGGGCGCGAGCGUUGUCCGGAAUUAUUGGGCGUAAAGGGCUUGUAGGUGGCGUGUCGCGUCUGCUGUGAAAUUCCAGGGCUUAACUUUGGGAUUGCAGUGGGUACGGGCAUGCUAGAGUGCAGUAGGGGAGAUUGGAAUUCCUGGUGUAGCGGUGAAAUGCGCAGAUAUCAGGAGGAACACCGGUGGCGAAGGCGGGUCUCUGGGCUGUUACUGACGCUGAGGAGCGAAAGCGUGGGGAGCGAACAGG